GAGCAGAUUUGCAAAGGAGGAGAAAGCCCGGACGUGGAGGGCUCGAGGGCUGCCGCCAACCUCGGGGUGAUCACGUGACCCCCAAGGCUAGCCAGCAAGAGGACCUCAUUCCUCCACCACAGACAGCAGGACAGGGGUGGGCAUGGGGCCCGAGCCCACACAAAGCCCUGCCUGGGAUUUUGCUGAAGACAGAAGCACCCUGACCCUCCAAGUUGGGAGUUUCGAGGACCCCCUGAACUGAGAGCUCCCGGGCCGUCUUUCCCUGAGAAUGAAGCCAACACAGGCAGGAUUGAGCUUAGAGUCUGAAUUCGAUGGUGCCUAGUGACAGCCUCUGAACUCCUGGACCCAGCUACACCUGAAGCCAUUCUACCCCACAUUUUCUAGGACUUUCCUGUAUGACUGCAUGGCUAAUAGCACUUCUCCUCGACACCGGUGCUGUUCUCGGAAUCC
rnacentral:lncRNA from 1 species